rnacentral:lncRNA from 1 species
AAAAAUAUCUCUAUAUACAUCUAGAAGGGUCCAUAUAUUUGUAUAUACAAAAAUAGAAAAAAGAAAAGAAUUAUAUUGUGCUUAGGCCCGAGUCGAACUUCUUCUUGGGCUUAUUAGUUGGGCCAAUGUCAAUACCCCCAUCCCCUCAAGCUAGAGGGUGUAAGCACGCCCAGCUUGCGUAAAGAAGAACUAUGGAGAGGUCCGGAGAGAGGCUUAGUCAGGAUAUCAGCCAGCUGAUCAGCAGAGGAGCAGAGGAGACAUGAUGCAAGGAAAUAACACCAAAGUGAAGCAGUCAUGAACAUAAUGGCAAUCAGUCUUAAUAUGUUUAGUGCGUUUAUGAAACACCGAAUUGCGAGCAUAUGUAAAGCAGCUAAACUGUCACAGAAAACAGGAACAGGAGAAGAAACAGAUAAUCCAAAAUCAGUAAAAAUACGAAUGAGCCAAACAACCUCAGCCACAACUUUCCGUAAAAUCAGUAAAAAUACGAAUGAGCCAAACAACCUCAGCCACAACUUUCCGUAAAGCUCUGUAUUCAGCCUCAACAGAAGAUAAAACAAUGGUGGGUUGUUUCUUGCUUUUUCGGGAAAUAGGGAAGCCACAAAAGAAAAUGUAAAAACCAGUCACAGAUCAUCUGGAUAAAGUGCAAGCAGCCCAAUCAGAAUCAACAUAAGCAAUAAGGCCCAUAGAAGAUAUAACAGGCAAGAAAAUGCCUUCAUCAGGCACAAAACUCAAAUAUUUUAAGACAUGAAGGCCAACCAACAUGUGUGGAUUGCAUGGAGGAUUAACAAAUUGACUGAGAUGAUGAACAACAAAUGAAAUAUCAGGUCUUGUAGGUUGAAGAAAAUUGAGCUUUCCAACAAGACGGCGACAAAGGGAAGGAUCAGGUAAAGGAACAGCCAUGUCAGAAGUUAAUUUGACAGUAGGAUCUAAAGGUGAAAACGCAGAAGUGAACUGAGAACACAGAAAUUCCUCCAACAAGUCAGAAGUAUACUUCUGUUGGGUAAUAAGAUACCCAGAGUCAUGUGUAAUAACCUCAAUCCCUAAAAAGUAAUGAACUAAACCCAAAUCAUUAAUCUUGAAUUGUUGAUCAAGAAAAGAUUUGAGGCUGCUCAUCUCAGAAAUACCAGAUCUAGCAAGAAGGAUAUCAUCCACAUAAACCACAAGAACCACCAGAGAUGUAGAAGUACGUUUAGUAAAUAAAGAAUAGUCAUUUUUUCUAGAAAUGUAGCCUCUAGAUAACAGAGCCUCAGACAAUUUAGAAAACCAUUGCGUGGAAGGUUGUUUGAGGCGAUAUAAGGAUUUCUUGAGUUUACAAACCAAAGGAGCCUUACUGGAAGAAGCAGCAGAGACCUGAAGGCUAAGAGGUAUUUUCAUAUAAACAUCCUCAUGAAGAAAAGCAUUAUUGACAUCUAACUGGAAAGCAUUCCACUUAUUCUUAGUAGCAAGUGACAGGAGACACUUGACAGUGGUUAGUUUUACAACAGGUUAAAAAGUUUCAUAGUAGUAGAUGCCCUCUUUUCGGGUAUCACCUCUGAUAACCAACCUAGCCUUGUACCUCUCAAUGGACCCAUCGGAUCUCUAUUUUAUCUUAUAAACCCAUUUGUAGGAAAUGGCUUUCUUAUGAAAAGGAAGAGGGACAAUCUCCCAAGUAUGGUUUGCCUCAAGAGCCUUGAAUUCUUGUUGCAUAGCCUCUUGCCAGGCAGAGUGAGAAAUAGCCUGCUGGUAAAACUGAGGUUCAUGCAAGUGCAGGUCAGAAACUAAAACCUUGGAAUUUACACUAGGAGGAGGAAAAUAUGGUUAAGCAGAAGAACAGAUAUAAUCAGUAAGGUGAGAAGGAGGAUGGACUGAUCUAGCGCUUCUUCUAAGAGGGACAAUAGCUGGAGGAGGAGAAACAUGAGUAGAAGAGGGAAACUGAAUAGGAACUGAAGUGAUUUCUUCAGUGUCAACAAAAAAUGGAGGAGGUGGAAAAGUGGAAGAAACAAGAUGAUCAGAAAAUGGAAAUAUGUGUUCAUGGAAAAUGACACUUCUAGAAUGAAAAAUAGAUGAGUUAGAUCGGUUGAGCAGCUUAUAUCCCUUCUUGCCACAAAGAUAACUAAUAAAUAAACUGGGAAUGGAUCUUGGAUGGAAUUUUUCUUUAGGGUGGAUAGUAGAAACAACAUAACAUAAGCAACCAAAGCUCUUUAAAUGCUCAUAAGAAGGAGAAGAACCAUGCAAUUUCUCAAAAGUAGACAAAUUGUUUAGAAUGACAGAGGGAAAUCUAUUAAUAAGGUAAGUGGCAGUUAGAACACAUUCACCCCAGUAUUUUAAAGAAAGAUGGGAUUGAAAUAAUAAGGCCAUAGAAACCUCAAAAAGAUGCUUGUGUUUUCUCUCAACAACCCCAUUUUGUUGAGAAGUGUGAGGGAUAGUGGUUUGGUGAAGAAUUCCAUUAGCAGAAAAAAAUUUGUAGAUCAGUACUGGUACCCAAUUCAAAAGCAUUGUCAGACCUAAAAGUGUGAACAUUAGACUGAAAAUGAACUCUAACCAUAUUUACAAAAGCUUUAAGAACAAAACUGGCACUACUUUUAGGAUGCAAAAGGUGUGUCCAGGUAGUCCUUGUAAAGUCACCCACUAGGGUUAAGAAAUACCUAAAACCAUUGUAUGUUUGUGUGUGGUAAGGCCCCCAAACAUCAAUGUGAACUAACUCAAAAGGAGAAAUGGAAUGAAUAUUACUGGAAGAAAAAGGAAGUCAAUGUUGCCUAGCCUUAGGACAGACAUCACAUAAGAAGGAUUGGGAAGAAGAAAUGAGACCAAAAAUAGAUAGAAUAGAUCUCAUUUUACUAUAGGGAAGGUGACCCAAUCUUUGAUUCCAAAACAAAUCAGUAUUAUUAAUAUCAGAAGAAACUUUACAGAUAGCAAGGAAAAGAUUAACAACAGAAGUAAAAGAGAAACCAGGUACUGAAAGACAUGAAGAAUUAGUAUUAAAAUAAUAUAAACCAUUUGCUACUCUACCAAUUUCCAACUGCAUCUUCAGAGAAUGGCCCUGUAAAGUGCAGGUAGAAAUAGUAAAAGUAGCACUAUAGUUGAAUUAAGUAAGAAGUUUGUGAAGGAAAAUAAGAUUGAACUAAAAAGAAGGAACUAAUAAAACAUUAUGUAAAACCAUAUCAUGUCUGACAUGUAAUGAUCCAGUAGAGACAACUUUAACUUUAUAGCCAUUAGGUAAGCUGAUUAAAAGAGGAGUGGCUAAAGGACUGAUGUUGUGUAAGGGAUGUUUGUGGCGGUGUCUUGUGAUUAGUUGCACUAGAAUCGAGUGUCCAAGAAUCUGUUCCUAAGGAAGAUACUGCACAAGUAUGAAACACAGCAGAGUUAACAAGAGGGUGAUUCAACACACCUGAAAAAUGUGCAAAUCCUGUUUCCUCAGGAAUAGGAACCUCAGGAUUACAUGGCAAAGAAUGAGAAGUAGAAGAUUGAUGCACAUGCUUAAGAUUUUGAUAAUGUUGAAACUGCUCUUUAGUCAGUUUACUCAUGAUCAUCAAGUCUCAAAGAAGAGAUCCCAGCAUCAGAAGUUGGAUUAUCAAAAAGCACACAGGAUGCAGAUUUGUUUUCUUUAGAAGAUUUAGGGUCAGGAGUAUAACCAAGGAGUUUAUAGUAUCUGUCAAUUAGAUGACCAGAUUUCUUACAAUAUCUGCAGAACAAUCCAGAAAUAGGGAUGGAAGAAGAGGGAAACCUCUUAGACUCAGACUGAGGAGAAUUGUAAUUUCUGUAUGCAAUAGUUGGGGGAUGGGUAGGAAAAUUCCUUUUAUGAUCAAAUUGGACAUUUUGAGUAAAAUUUCUCCCAUAAGAAGGAUUCUGAGUAUAAGCAUUGAAAGAGGCUGAGUCAUUUGAAAAACCAGGAAUAGGAGCAGAAACCUCUUUUUGCUUUUCAACAUGCUGGAGCAUGGAAUAAUAACUACUCAGAGAAUGGAGAGUGGGUAACAUCAAAAUGUUACUUUUGCAUACAGAUUAAUCAUCAUUAAGUCCACUUAGAAACUAAAAUAACUUUUGUUGUUCUAGGAAUUUCCCAAAAGCUCCACACGUGCAUACUGAACCAUAUAAGAAGUGUGAAGUUCAUCCCAAAGAUUGCGUAGUCUGGUGAAAUAAGCAGUAAUACUGGAUGAAACUUGGGAAGUAGAGUUGAUUUACUUUUGGAGCUGAAUGUACUUGGUUCCAUUCGAUUGACCAAACUGCUCAUUUAUGUCUAGCCAUAUGUCCUUAGCCGCGUCAAAACACUUGACACUGAUGGCUAAGUCGGUGGAUAGGGAACAGUACCAGUUAUGAGCCCUAAUUUGUUUUUAGCUGAGAGUGCAGUAAUCAUAUUCUUUCUCUAACCCACAAACCCAUUAUCAUUGAAGGAGGUGAAACCAACCGAGUGUCUGGGAUAUCGGAAGGAUAUAUGUAGAAGGGAUGAGUUGGUGAAACGAAAAACUCGUCAAAACCUUCUACAGUACUCUAAUUUUCAGUAGACAUUGAAACUAGCACCAAAAUCUCAAAUGAUAUGCUUACAGAUAUAAUAACAUACAAAACAUAAAAAUUUUACCCCAAAAAAUUGAUUUUCACAGCUUGUGAACACAGAUGUAUAGACGCACAAAUAUACCCUAAUCAAAUCAGGAUAAAAUAGAGAUUACCACCCUUCUUCGUAACCUGAAGAAGUAAGGUCUUAAAAAAAUAAAAUCUGCGUCAAAUUGAAGCAAAACUCAGUAAGAUCUCUUAAGAUCCAAAAAUCAAAUAGCCAAAACCCAUCGAGGGUAAUAUCGGAGGAUAGAGGAAGACGAGGGGAGUCGAAAUCCCUUCUCCGAUACCAUGUUAGAUUUUCAAAUCUACAGAUCACAAUCAAAAUUCAACAUACAAAACCCUCGUAUUUCGAAAGAUCAAGAGAAACUGAAGAGUUUAUUUUGAUAUGGAAAAAUAUCUCUGUAUACAUCUAAA